rfam:Brassica napus, WGS project CCCW01000000 data, contig: 3208
GGAAUAUAAGAACUUUUCUCUUAACUUUUAACUAAAAAAGCUAAGAACGAACUCUUAAAUAAGAGUUUUGAGAGACGAUUCUUAGUUUUUUAGUUAAAAGUUAAUAGAUGUUUUCUUAUAUUCC